rnacentral:lncRNA from 1 species
GGUACAGAUUUUAAAUUACAAGCUUGAUUUGAUACCCUCAAAUACAGUUCUUAAGGAAGAUUAGUUACAAAUAGUUGUCAGUACUUUCAAAUGACAGAAAAAAUUACAUUUUAGUAAAACUGGAUGAAUUUUUCAUGUGUGAAAUAACAAUCCUUUCACCACCAGGUGGAAUUACUCCAGUUCAUGCAAUAGAUAACUAUGACAUUUUUAAAAACUGCCCUAAUUUUUCUAGUUGCGAUUUCAUGCCUAUUGUAAGUCAAACAGUAUUAUAAGUGAAAAUGAAACAUCAAUUUAAAAUGAACAAGUGUAAAAACACGCGGAACUGAAAUUAUAGAAAAUCAAAACACUAAAUACACAGUAAUUAAAUAUCUAGCACUGGAAUCACCAAAUGCAUGCGCAGUAACACACUUUCAACUGAUAUAAAAAGCCCUUUAAGAUUCACAUAAUCUAAAUAAAUAAGCAGAAACACAAAGGGAGGUACUGUGCCAGCCAGUAACAACUAGAAAGUAAGUUCUCCCUUUUUCUUUCAAAUGAUCCUAACAGAAGACAGGAAAUAAAGAUCACUUGUUAAAAACUAUAAUUCAUGUUUGGUUUUUCUUUGUUGUUUUUUUUUUAAUGCUGCCCGAUAAAGUCAAAGCAAGGCUUCCUAAAUGUUAGACCACUACACCUCAGAUAAGGAAAGGCCACCUAACGGACAGAUUUAAACAAAAAUCAGACAUUUGUCUAUGGAAGGUAUGAUUGAAUUUUUGCGUAAUGACCCCGCAAUAGGAUCUAAAUCAAGCCCACAACAAGAAUGCACAUUCAAGCAUCUGAAUGCAUGAUCUGUUAAUACUGAAUUCUAUAUGGUGAUUUCACUCAGCAAAGUACUGGUUUAUUCUAUAUAAGACCAGGAUUAAAACACCUACAGUGGGAACUGUAUCUUACUUAAGUUUGCAUUCUGGUUCUCAGAAUCUCAGAACAUAAUAGGUGUAAGCGUUUGCCAAACUGAGUCCAGCAUUCAUGAUUUCAGGAAGCUUUGCAUCCGUGACAAAA